AGAGCGAACGCUGGCGGCAGGCCUAAUACAUGCAAGUCGAACGGACCCUUCGGGGUUAGUGGCGGACGGGUGAGUAACACGUGGGAACGUGCCCUUUGGUUCGGAACAACUCAGGGAAACUUGAGCUAAUACCGAAUGUGCCCCCAUCCUUAAACAAGAUGGGUGGGAAAGAUUUAUCGCCAUUGGAGCGGCCCGCGUCUGAUUAGCUAGUUGGUGAGGUAAAGGCUCACCAAGGCGACGAUCAGUAGCUGGUCUGAGAGGAUGAUCAGCCACACUGGGACUGAGACACGGCCCAGACUCCUACGGGAGGCAGCAGUAGGGAAUCUUGCGCAAUGGGCGAAAGCCUGACGCAGCCAUGCCGCGUGAAUGAUGAAGGUCUUAGGAUUGUAAAAUUCUUUCAGCGGGGACGAUAAUGACGGUACCCGCAGAAGAGCCCCGGCUAACUUCGUGCCAGCAGCCGC
rnacentral:rRNA from 1 species